rnacentral:tRNA from 1 species
GCUGAUGUAGCACAGUCGGUAGUGCGCUUCACUCGUAAUGAAGAGGUCGGGGGUUCGAUUCCUCUCAUCAGCAUCA